ACCUCCGUAGCUCAGCUGGUUAGAGCGCUGCACCGGAAUCACAGCGCCGUAGGUUCGAUUCCUAUCAGAGGAC
rnacentral:tRNA from 1 species